CAUGUGAUCACAUGGAAGCAGAAUUAGGAAAUCUCUAGUAAAUCUGUCCUUGUUUUGUCAGCAUGUUUGAAUUGGAGUUUACAGUUAGACGACAAUAAAGACGUGUUCAGACCAAGAAAUUACUUUGAUGCAGUUUUCUUAAAAUAAAUAUGAUAAAUGUUAAAAAAGUAAAACACCUAAGGUGUUUCUGUGUAAAAUAAUGUUAUAAUUUGUAAAAAUAUGUUGUCAUAUAUUAAAUGUCUCCUGUGUGGAGGUAUUUCAGUUCAUUAAAAACUGACACAAAUGAGUAACGUUCACUGCAAACCGUGCAGAAGGCAUGUUCUUUCUAGAACUGGAAAUAGCACCAACCUUUUUUAUCAUCUGAAGCUGAGUCUCCAUUUGAUAAUUCAAUAAAAAUAACAUUUCAUUUCCUCAUUAUAAAGCAACUUUAUUGGAGUUUCAUUUGUCAUUGGUCUUUUUGAGCCGAAAUUCUGAAGAAAUCAAAACAAAAGGCUUUUCCAACAGAAUCAGAACGUUAGCACGUGACCUAAGUUUGUUCACUUUGUGCUAAAUGUUGAUUUCUUUGACUGUUCUGUUAAUAAUAUCAACAGUUCUCUGUCGCCCUCUGGUGGUUCAUCAGAGAAGCCCAACUUCCACAGAAAGUGAAUCCAUAAACAUGAGCUAAUUCUUGAUGCAGGUUUGAAAACACAGAUGGAAAACAGCAUCAAUACAAAUAUUAGUCAAUGUUUCCUUGAAUGGAACAAUUUCAGGAUUUGUUGUCAGAAAAGUUCUGAAAACCUCCUUUGUUCUGACUGUUUGCUCCAAAUCCCAGAUUCAGGAAUUCCUCCAAGAAGUUCAGCUCAGAGAUCAUCAGCAGAGAAAAGCCUGAAGUUCUGAUGGAAAAUGACAACAGAACAUGAUCAAUAUUAUUGAUCCACAUGGAAUCCAGAAGAAACUCUGAGGUGAAGACAUGAAGACACAAGCUUCAGAGACAUGAGGAGAAGUCAGAGUGGAUUAAUUCUGGACUUUCUUCUCACAUCUUCUCUUCAGAACAUCUUUGUCUUUGAUCCUUCAAAUCUUCUGAAAUCUGAUCAUCCAUGGAUUGUUUUUGUGGGAUCAGAUCCAGAGUUGCUGAAAGUUCUGCUGCCCUCUGCUGGUCAAAGUGUCCAAACAGCAGAGAGGAGAUUCUCUGGGAUUCAUUGGAGUCCAGAUUCUCCUGGAUGUGAACAGUCUCUGCUUCUGGAACAGAAGAGUCCUUCUCAGAGCAGCAUUGAGGAUCUGUUCUGUCCGGCUGAGAGCGCUCCCUGCUGA
rnacentral:lncRNA from 1 species